rnacentral:rRNA from 1 species
UACAGAGGUCCCAAGCGUUGUCCGGAUUUAUUGGGCGUAAAGAGCUCGUAGGCGGUCUGUCGCGUCGAUCGUGAAAACUUGGGGCUUAACCCUGAGCUUGCGGUCGAUACGGGCAUGACUGGAGUUCGGCAGGGGAGACUGGAAUUCCUGGUGUAGCGGUGAAAUGCGCAGAUAUCAGGAGGAACACCGGUGGCGAAGGCGGGUCUCUGGGCCGAUACUGACGCUGAGGAGCGAAAGCGUGGGGAGCGAACAGG